GACGAACGCUAGCGGCGUGCUUAACACAUGCAAGUCGAACGGAAAGGCCCUGCUUUUGUGGGGUGCUCGAGUGGCGAACGGGUGAGUAACACGUGAGUAACCUGCCCUUGACUUUGGGAUAACUUCAGGAAACUGGGGCUAAUACCGGAUAGGAGCUCCUGCUGCAUGGUGGGGGUUGGAAAGUUUCGGCGGUUGGGGAUGGACUCGCGGCUUAUCAGCUUGUUGGUGGGGUAGUGGCUUACCAAGGCUUUGACGGGUAGCCGGCCUGAAAGGGUGACCGGCCACAUUGGGACUGAGAUACGGCCCAGACUCCUACGGGAGGCAGCAGUGGGGAAUAUUGCACAAUGGGCGGAAGCCUGAUGCAGCAACGCCGCGUGCGGGAUGACGGCCUUCGGGUUGUAAACCGCUUUCGCCUGUGACGAAGCGUGAGUGACGGUAAUGGGUAAAGAAGCACCGGCUAACUACGUG
rnacentral:rRNA from 1 species